UACGUAGGGUGCAAGCGUUGUCCGGAAUUAUUGGGCGUAAAGAGCUCGUAGGCGGCCAGUUGCGUCUGCUGUGAAAUCCCCGGGGCUCAACCCCGGGCGUGCAGUGGAUACGGGCUGGCUAGAGGCAGGCAGGGGAGAACGGAAUUCCCGGUGUAGCGGUGAAAUGCGUGGAGAUGUGGAGGAACACCGAUGGCGAAGGCAGCCUCCUGGGCCAGUACUGACGCUCAUGCACGAAAGCGUGGGGAGCAAACAGG
rnacentral:rRNA from 1 species